AUUGAACGCUGGCGGCAGGCCUAACACAUGCAAGUCGAACGGUAACAGGAAGAAGCUUGCUUCUUUGCUGACGAGUGGCGGACGGGUGAGUAAUGUCUGGGAAACUGCCUGAUGGAGGGGGAUAACUACUGGAAACGGUAGCUAAUACCGCAUAACGUCGCAAGACCGAAGAGGGGGACCUUCGGGCCUCUUGCCAUCGGAUGUGCCCAGAUGGGAUUAGCUAGUAGGUGGGGUAACGGCUCACCUAGGCGACGAUCCCUAGCUGGUCUGAGAGGAUGACCAGCCACACUGGAACUGAGACACGGUCCAGACUCCUACGGGAGGCAGCAGUGGGGAAUAUUGCACAAUGGGCGCAAGCCUGAUGCAACCAUGCCGCGUGUAUGAAGAAGGCCUUCGGGUUGUAAAGUACUUUCAGCGGGGAGGAAGGGAGUAAAGUUAAUACCUUUGCUCAUUGACGUUACCCGCAGAAGAAGCACCGGCUAACUCCGUG
rnacentral:rRNA from 1 species